rnacentral:rRNA from 1 species
AUUGAACACUGCCGGGAGGCCGAACACAUGCAAGUGGAACGAGGGGCGGACGGGUGAGUAGUGUAUGGGAAACUGCCCGAUGGAGGGGGUUAACUACUGGCAACGGUAGCUAAUACCGCAUACCAUCGGAUGUGCCCAGAGGGGAUUAGCUAGUAGGUGGGGUACCGGCUCACCUAGGCGGCGAGCCCUAGCUGGUCUGAGAGGAUGACCAGCCACACUGGAACUGAGACACGGUCCAGACUCCUACGGGAGGCAGCAGUGGGGAAUAUUGCACAAUGGGCGCAAGCCUGAUGCAGCCAUGCCGCGGGUAUGAAGAAGGCCUUCGGGUUGUAAAGUACUCGCAGCGGGGAGGCGUUACCCGCAGAAGAAGCACCGGCUAACUCCGUGCCAGCAGCCGCGGUAAUAC